rnacentral:lncRNA from 1 species
AGAAAAAGCAUUUCAGAAUCUGCAAGUUCAAACAAGACAAAGCUGAAGAGUGUAUGAGUAAAGCUCAGCCUCUGAUGUCCUCUGAAAUUAAUCUGUGAGCUCAGUAACUGCUAGGAUUUGAAUGAGGGGUGUCCCCUCAAAAACGAAUGUUGAAAUUUAAUCCCCAAUGCAACAAUAUUAAGACACGUGUCCUUUGGGGUGAUUAAGUCAUGAGGGCUCUUAUACAAGCACAGGAGGUCGAGGGGAGCACCCUCUUCCCCUCCUCUCCCAUGUAAGGACACAGCAUAUCUCCCCUCUGGAGGAUCUGGCAGCAAGGCGCCAUCUUGGAAGCAGAGAGCAGCCCUCACCAGACACUAAUCCUGCGGACAUCUUGAUCUUGGACUUCCCAGCCUGGCAGACUAUAUUGAUCUCCAAUCACCAUUUUAUACCUCAGACUUUCUUGCAGCACCUGGUCCCUGAGAACUAACUCCUGCAACAUAUAGGAUUGAGGAUAGCCCAAGAUAGCAGGAUGCAGUUUGGACCUAGAUCACCCACAGCUCAGCAGGCAAUGGGAAACUCAUCACUGGUGGUGCUGAAAAACAAUCAAGAUAAAAUUGACAUUUUGUUAUGAAGAUGAAGAAGCUAGAUUUAUCUUUUUCAUAUGUAAGAAGUACCUUUCGCCUCCCGCCGUGAUUCUG